rnacentral:rRNA from 1 species
GAUGAACGCUAGCGGCAGGCCUAAUACAUGCAAGUCGAGGGGUAGAGAAGAGCUUGCUUUUCUUGAGACCGGCGCACGGGUGCGUAACGCGUAUGCAACCUACCUUUAUCAGGGGGAUAGCCUCUCGAAAGAGAGAUUAACACCGCAUAAAAACACAGUACGGCAUCGUACAAUGUUCAAAUAUUUAUAGGAUAAAGAUGGGCAUGCGUGACAUUAGCUAGUUGGUGAGGUAAGGGCUCACCAAGGCGACGAUGUCUAGGGGAUCUGAGAGGAUGACCCCCCACACUGGAACUGAGACACGGACCAGACUCCUACGGGAGGCAGCAGUAAGGAAUAUUGGUCAAUGGGGGCAACCCUGACCCAGCCAUGCCGCGUGCAGGAAGACGGCCCUACGGGUUGUAAACUGCUUUUAUACGGGAAUAAACCCCUUUACGUGUAAAGGGUUGAAUGUACUGUAAGAAUAAGGAUCGGCUAACUCCGUGCCAGCAGCCGCUGUAAAAC